CUGCAGUGAAAAACAACAGUGGUCAUGACUUCAGUUUUAAGGAACAAAGACCAAUUGUCUGAAAACUUUCAGUAAGAAACCACAGCCAGACGUUGUUCUUCAUUCCUGGAGCUUUGAGGUCCAAGAGUCUUUUCAAGUGAAAAUUACCCAGACGGCAAAUUCAACUCAUUUUCUCAUGGAUGGAAGCCCCUUGCUGAGCUCUCCAAGCCUCCCAGGAAGGCCUUCCUCCUACCCCUCAUCUGGUCCUGCUCGUGCCAAUGCCUGCCACAGUGUAACUGCAGCCUAAUGAAUCGGGAUUAGGCUGUUCUUCAAUCCACAUUACCUGUUAAUUAUUCUUCUAUGGACAAUCUUUAAAAUUAUAAUUCGCUCUGCACAAUCUUUCAGGAACUCUGACAUUCGUUGUUUUAAAACUGGUUUCAUUUCAUGUUUUGCAAUUGCCUU